UACGUAGGGGGCAAGCGUUGUCCGGAUUUAUUGGGCGUAAAGAGCGUGUAGGCGGCCAGGUAGGUCUGGUGUGAAAACUCGAGGCUCAACCUCGAGAGGUCAUCGGAAACCAUUUGGCUAGAGUCCGGAAGAGGAGAGUGGAAUUCCCGGUGUAGCGGUGAAAUGCGCAGAUAUCGGGAAGAACACCCGUGGCUAAGGCGGCUCUCUAGUACGGUACUGACGCUGAGACGCGAAAGCGUGGGGAGCGAACAGG
rnacentral:rRNA from 1 species